GGAGAGGUGGCCGAGUGGUCGAAGGCGCUCCCCUGCUAAGGGAGUAGGGGGUUGAUAGCCCCCUCGAGGGUUCGAAUCCCUUCCUCUCCGCCA
rnacentral:tRNA from 1 species